rnacentral:rRNA from 1 species
UCGAGGAUCUUCGGCAAUGGGCGCAAGCCUGACCGAGCGACGCCGCGUGCGCGAUGAAGGCCUUCGGGUUGUAAAGCGCUUUAGCAGGGGAGGAAAGCCGCAAGGUCUGACCUAUCCUGAAAAUAAGCACGGGCUAAGUUCGUGCCAGCAGCCGCGGUAAGACGAACCGUGCGAACGUUGUUCGGAAUCACUGGGCUUAAAGGGCGCGUAGGCGGGCGAUCAAGUCCGGGGUGAAAUCUUUCGGCUUAACCGGAAAAGUGCCUUGGAUACUGGUUGUCUGGAGGGAGGUAGGGGGAUGUGGAACUUCCGGUGGAGCGGUGAAAUGCGUUGAUAUCGGAAGGAACGCCGGUGGCGAAAGCGACGUCCUGGACCUCUUCUGACGCUGAGGCGCGAAAGCUAGGGGAGCGAACGGGAUUAGAUACCCCCGUAGUCC